CAAUUCUCACUGGAAGGUGGGGACAGGGCAGAUUGCUUCUCUAGUUCACAUCCUGCUCCUGCCUUUGCUCCAAGGAAGAGGAGCCUUUAAGCACAUAUUUGGAACUUUUUAAAAAAAAAAAGUUUGGCUUGAGAUCUGGACAAGGGCUUGUGACUGGAGGUAGCUUCUCUCAUUUUAACUGAAUUAAUUUACUAUCUUCCUUGAAUCUACAGCACUUCCCCUGCUUCUUCAUGCAAGCUCUUAUCUGACCUAAUUAGAUGAGAGGCCACACAGGCUGUCACAAGCUGAAAGGCUAUCCACCUUCUCCUUGCCAAGUGAGAGGGCUGUGCAGUGUUCUUGCAGGUAUCAAACCAGAUAACAAGUGAUCUUGCAGGUAUCAAACUGCCUAACAGUUCCUUGGAAUAAACUCAUGAUUUGCAGACCCAGUGGCCUAUGUCUAUUCAGCAGCAACAAGGAUACCCAAUUGCAGCAUAAGACAGAAAAUGCAUGGCAACUGAAGUGCACCAGACGAGGAAGCAGUUGCUUGUGAGGAAGAUGGCAGCUGAUCAUCAUGAGUCCUGUCUGUGAUGGGGUAUGCCACAUUCCCAAUCAGGAGAAGGCUAACAGCUCCUCUGGGCUCUAUCCCUGCCCAACAGACAUACCGGCAGAGCCUGCUCCAGAUGGAGGAAGCAAGCUUAAAAAGGAGAGCUGGUCACAUGAAUAGGCAGCAAGCAGGAGGAAAGCAGCUGUUCCUUGGAAGGUGCUGACUCUUGCUUCCACUGACCAUAAAGGCCUUUGAAAGGGACAAAGGCCUCUGAAAAUGCCUGACUGUGACCCCAGAGAAAGGGGUCCCAGUCAGCCCUAUCACAAUGGUGGAGAAUGCGGGCAUCAACCCCUACACCUGAUACAAGGGUGGAGAGAGGGAGAGACUAGAAACCCUGGGACUCUAAGUGAGAAGGAGUCAGAGUGCUGGUGUCAGUGGUGGCUAUGAUUCAGCAAUACCAGGCUAACCAACAACGACAGUUCCAACAGCAGCGGCUACAGUAGUGGACUAUGCAGCCGCAGAUACAAGUGUCACAGAAACAAUAGCUGUUGAGAGAGAUGGUAACCCAACAGAAAGAGUUGCAGACGUGAUUCAACAAGUAAUGUGAGCCUUACUUCCCAUGGGGUCCCAGCAAGACCAGCUUCCCCAGGAAUAACUCUCCCGCAGGUCCCAGUGAAGUUAACCAAGGUGGGACCCAAUGAAGACUCAGAGGCAUUUUUACCACCUUUGAGAGGACAGCCCUAGCCUCUCAGUGGCGCCCUGAGCACUGGGCUUUAAUAUUUGGUGGGAAAGGCUAUCGCAAUCUGGAUUAAGAACAGGCCAAGAACUAUAAAGGAAGUGAAAGCUGCUAUUCUAGACUAUUUAUAUAUUAAUGAAGAGACAUUGCUUCUGACCUAAGUUGCUGACAUACCCCAAAGACUCCAGACCUCACGUAAUAGGCCAAUGCUUGAAGGAACAUUGCUUGUACUGGCUGCACUCUAUGGAAUAGUCUGGAGCCCGGGUUGCCAAGUUAAUUCUAAUUGAAUAAUUUAUACAGAUACUACCAACAAGAGAUUGAGAGUGGAUGUUACGACACUGCCCUGGGUGUCUGUCAGACACUGUGUGACUGAUAUGAAAUUUCAUAGCAGCCAUGAGGCAUGAGACACAGACACUAAGCCCUUAACCCAUGCUUAUGAGGGGCCACAUUGAGAAGUUCCCUCCAGGAGGACCAAACUGCCUGCUCAGGAGAUGCCCUGCCCAAAUGACCAUCCUGUAUCUCACUUGGCUGAAACAGGGUCCACAGAGGGAGAUUCUAGUGCCAUCCCAUGACCAAAUUACCUCCCACAAAGAAAGACAUCUCUGAGGCUAACCCAGUACCCUGUUACUCCUCUGAGCAGCAAGGACA